ensembl:lncRNA
AUCAAGAUGACCAUGCCAUUAUUACGGUGUUAAUCAUUCACAUCCAUAUUAUAAUGCUUAACUUCUCUUUGUAUGAUGAAAGUUCAAGUGAAUAACAUCACAAAUGGUUUGUUGCAAAACCUAGUGAGCAGAAACAGCAUAUUAAGGCGUCAUACAGUAGGUGCUCUCUCAACACAAAAGCUGUUCCACAAGGGCUUAACAGUAUUUCCAGAUGUUCCUGCAGUAAUGCUGCCAUCAGACUGGAGCAGGAGGAAAGGGACAAUGUUUGUUUUCAGAUGUAAAUGCAUGCAGUAUGCAGUUGUGUUUUUGUAAAAGACAUUUGUACAUCUCUGUGAAUGAAGGAAACAGCAUAACAAGUGCCAGCAAAUCACUGAGAUGGAGACAUGUGUCUUGACUCAUCACAAAAUUUGACACCGGUCUGUCUCCCUCCAUCGUCCUCUCCUUCAGUCUCGGACUAACUCGUAAAUUAUAGUCCAGGAGCAGCACACUGAAGAACAUAAAGCAGAGUCUUUCUGGUUGGCAGUUUACCAAAAAUUACAUCUCCAGUCACUAAUAUCAUUUCUGAAAUUUGCUAAUACUGUUUGCUUCCAUAUUUCUCAUUUCCUCAUUUGUGCUACUGUGCCUUUAAGACAUCUAAGUAAACAUCCUUUGCUAAAAUUAAUUCAGAUUAUUUGCUUACUUAUGGGUCGCUGUCUUGCUAACAGGUUAAAUAUAGUUGACACUGCGCUAUCCUUCAAUAACAUCCACUUAGAAAAGGAUGCAUUCAUUUAAGGCAUGAGUAUCACAAAAGUAUUAAAGUGCCCCUGUUAUGGAUUUUUGAAAAUUACCUUUCAUGCAGUGUGUAACACAGCUCUAAUGAAAGAGAACAUCCUGCAAAAAGUAACCUUAUUACUAGUAUGCUGAUCUCAUUGACGUGUGCUAAUAAGGCUUGCAUUAACUGUUUAAUGUAGGAUGACAAGUGGUAAUGUCUAAUAUUAACACACAUCUAUGUCAUGCGUUAAGUAUUUAAUUAAGAUUACAUCAUAAAGAUAAUUCAUCUGAAGGCACUAAUUAAUGGGGAAAAUACAUGCAAAACAGCCCAAGCUGUCAUAAUGCACACAGGCUGUUCUGCGGUUCACAUGAUG